UACGUAGGGUGCAAGCGUUGUCCGGAAUUAUUGGGCGUAAAGAGCUCGUAGGCGGUUUGUCGCGUCGAAUGUGAAAACCCGGGGCUCAACCCCGGGCCUGCAUUCGAUACGGGCAGACUAGAGUUCGGUAGGGGAGUCUGGAAUUCCUGGUGUAGCGGUGAAAUGCGCAGAUAUCAGGAGGAACACCGGUGGCGAAGGCGGGACUCUGGGCCGAUACUGACGCUGAGAAGCGAAAGCAUGGGGAGCGAACAGG
rnacentral:rRNA from 1 species